rnacentral:rRNA from 1 species
CCAAUCGGCCAUACCACGUUGAAAGCACCGGUUCUCGUCUGAUCACCGAAGUUAAGCAACGUCGGGCCCGGUUAGUACUUGGAUGGGUGACCGGAUAGCUCAGUGGGUUAAACCGC